rnacentral:misc_RNA from 1 species
AUUUUUAUUAUGGAAGAUUUUCUGUAACAUGUAAAUUUUGGAGGGAUUUUCUUCCAUCUAAAUGUACUUGUUGCUAGAUCUGUUCAAUAGUGUAAAACCUAAAGAGGAUGUUGUAAAGAAAUUGGUCCAAAUUCAUAUAUGUUGCUCCUGUUACAUAUUAUUUCGAUCAAGACAUUUGUUUACUAUUAUUUCUGAUUGAACUCUCACUAUGAUUCUUGUGAUAUGUGAUCUAUUUUGUACAGCUGUGAGACAGAUAAUGACUAAAACUUGGAUAUUUAGUUGUCACAUGCUGUUGUAGCAGUACCUCCUUGGAUUGACUGUAUGAAAUGGAUCAUGUUGGAUUCCUGUCUACAUUAGGUGGAAUAUUCAUAGUUGUGUCAUUUAUAAGAAUUUAUGUACCCUAGUGUUUUCUUGGUUUCUAGUUUCUGUGGGAUAAUAUGUACCUAGUGGUUUCUUGAUUUCUAAUUUCUAUUUGGAUAAUAUGUCAACAUCUUAGGUGGUGCUGUUAGGCAUCCGUUAUGUUAUUUUUUCAACUAAUUUUUUCUUACAUCCGCUGUUAUUUAUUCUAAAUUCUGCAUUUUGUUGAUGGGGCGUUUUUAUAUUGGUCUGUGUAGUCUGCUUCUCAAGUUCAUGGGGGUCAAUUUGCAGCAGGUUUUGUGGAUGGUUCUGUCAGACUCUAUGAUAUCCGGACACCUGAAAU